UGUUUUCUGACUCUGUAGUGGAAGAUGGACAAGGAAUUGGGUCUCACACGGUCAGCCAUGGCACCGUAGUGUAGCCCUCUUUCUCAUAAAUAGCAGAAAGUCAUCACUUAGGUCAUCUUUUAGAACGCAAAUACUUUAGGAAGAGAUAACGCACUCAACUCACACUGAAGUGUUAGUAACAUAUCACAUUCCUUCUUUCCAGGCAGGGGACAUUCUGAGCAUGGGGGUCGGGGGCUGGGCAAGUCAGAGUACCUCAAAGACACUGGCUACCUAGUACCCAACUUAACUGCACGCUGGCUGGCACUUGCACUUUCAUUUUACCUUCAUACCCUCACCAAUGACCAAACACCUAACAAAGCUAAGAGCGGUACUAUCUAUUCUAGUGGUUUUUAAGAACUCGGUCUUUGGGGACAGAGCUGGGGGUCAACUCCUGGCUCUCCCUCUUGCCAGCAGCAUCAGUGCAUUGGUUUCCUAGGGCAGCUGCAACAAACCACCACAAGUACGGUGGCCUAAAACAACACAAAUUUAUUAUUUUACAGCUCGUCAGGUCAGAAGUCGGACACAGGUCUCACUGGGCUGAAAUCUAUGCUGCUGGAAGUCCUUGUGUGUGUGGUUGACUGGAAGGGGCACAGGGGUCUUCUGGAGUGCUGGUUAUGUGCAUUUCUUGGUCAGGGUGCUAGUGACAGGGAUGUCUACAGUUUGUAUCCAACAAGCUGUAUGCUAAGAUGUAUACUUUUCUGUUUUACACUGCAAUGAAAAGUUAAAAACAGACAAAUACCCUGGGAGGUCCAUCUUUUCCAUGGAGAAACUGAGGCAAAGAUGAAGUUAGAGCUCUGUCAGUAGGGACAGAACUGAGACCAGGGUCUGGGCAGCCCACCUCCUAGUCUUUUGAGUUUAAUGUAUUCGAGGCCAAUUUCCAACACUAAUUAUGUAUUAUAUAUUUAAAAUCUCUUGAGAAAAGCUUUUUUUAAAAAAUUUCUUUUGCCAUAGAGUCACAUUUCUAUUGCAAGUGAAAGGUACCUUGUAUGCUUCAGACACACCUGUAAAAACAGAACCAAUCCUGUCAUAUAUCCCUGUCUGCUUCACUUUUUUUCAGACGCUGUGAAAAACAUGCCACAAUAAUAAACCCCUUUUCCAUCCUAGCCAGCUGGAAAAUUACGUGAUGCUUGAAGUGACAUCAUUCAGCUACGACACCAAGCCAGUGGCUGCUCUGAGAAAUCUGGGUUAGACAAUGACAGCAUGGAUGUGAAUGCCACUAGGCAAUGAAUCCCACCCUUUUUAUUAGCAAAUGGCUGUUUUUAUCACCAUGACAUUUUAAAAAUGAAACUGUGACAGCUACAUUGUCUGAGGCCAUUGAUCACCCAACAUCUCUUAUCUCCAAAAGGAAGCCCACUGGCCAGAGGUGUCCUGUUUCAAAGCAGGGAAGACAAGAAUGGAGGUAAAGGAGAGCUCAUUUUAAACCACUAGUUCCAAAGGGAAAGACCAGGGCCCAGGACUGAGGUACUGGGGUCUUCCAGGGGAUAGACAGUCUUCCCUCUAUCUCUAUCAAUUGUUUCUAAAGUGAGCUCAAGUAGCAGUAGUGAUAAUACCUUAAGUAGUAAUGACAGUAUCUACAAUAAUACUCUUUGCUAUAGACACAGAUACUGUAUCAUAAACCCUAGGCAAAACCCCAGGAUGCUUAUUAGGUAAACAUAACAUCACGAGGAGGCCCAGACAUUCCUCCACCUUUUUGACCUUUAAGUUGAACUACAUAAAAUGCAAUAAGUGACCCUUUCCAACUUCAAAAAAUGGGCAAUUUCAUAUGGCUCAUCCUAAUAGACUGGCCCCUCCCCCAAGAUCCUUCUCUGCAGAUGUGUUAGGAACUGCCAAAAGAUCUAGGGAAAUGUCCAUACUUCUCAAGCAACAGAGAAUUAGAAACACUGCUGCACCUCAUCAUAUAAAAGUGCAGAGGAUGGCCCUGGGGCAAAAGACGUCCUGCUGUCCUCCGAAAGAGCUGGACCCUCGACCAGUGGGCCCUCUGUCCUUUGCCCACUCAGUGUGAAGCCAGGUGCAAUAGGUUAAAAGCACAUCCUCAAGUCAACAGCAAAGGCAGAGGCGUGCCCACAGCAGGGAGACUGGAGUAGCAUUAGGUCCCACCCUUGAGGGAGCCCAAGAAGAUCCGCGGUUGAUGUGCUGCGUGCUGCAAGGCUGCCCGAGACCCAGUCCUCGCUCGGAAGCCAGAGGACAAGGAAGCUGGGGUCCUACCCGGGUAGCAAGGUUUCAGAUGACCAGUCUGCCACAGGUGCUGGAUGCUUCUGCACUGGAGUGCAGGGCCCAGGGCUCCAAAAAUUCACCUUUGGGUUGAACACAUCUGUGUGAAAAAAGCCUGGCGGAAAGAAAAACUGGAUUAUGCUGACGCUCAAUGCGCGUAACCUUAACUACAGCAUGUUUGCUUCUGCAAACACUACAGUAUAUGAAAUUAAAUAUUAAUAGCCAUCACCUCACCCCUUCGGAGAACAGGCCUGAGUCACAGCUCCUGUGUGGCGUGAUUUCCAUUCACGGACUCACUGUGAACGCUGCUCACGUUACGAAGCCUCAAACCAGGCAAAACCAAAGCAAGUGUGUGUUUUUAUUCCAUAAUGUCAUGGGGAACAUUGCUUAUUUUGGAGGCCAAGUUCAGUUCUCCUGAAUUUACCACCUAUGACACAUUUUAAGACUAAUCACCUCAAAACAUACUAGGAGAAAUGACAAAGUUAUUUUUAAGUUAGAAAGGAAAAUAUUGGAAUAAGAUGAACAUGUCUGUUAUUUAUCAGUGACGAGAUUUGCAGCACUCGGCUGAACUCUUCUGACAUUUGAAAGCACCAACAUAUUUGUAUUGGUGAAUAUAUUUCCAGUGCCCCUUAUCUGUGCAUUGCAAAUGGACAUAAUUAGAUUUUUAAACUUUGCAUGGGUGGUGUCAAGUAUGCCAAAGAUAUUUAGCUUCCUGGGGGUUUAUGGGAGGUCUGGUUUCCCCUCUCUACCUCUGCAUGGUCACUGUCUUCUUGAUAAGCUUUAGACUCUCAGCAGCCUAAACCAUUUGACGGUUUUGUGUAUGAUGAUUACAAAGCAGAGUUAAAGGAAAGAAUGAAAGUCAAGCAGCCAGCCCAGUACCUGGCACGCAGCAAACAUCCCACAAAUGUUAGCUCCCUUUUCCCUUCCCCACUUCUUAUACUCUUAGAGGGAUAAGUGCUUUCAAGUCAGUGUUCAGAAUUGAUUCUUCAAAUCCCCCAGGAGAUAGUGUAAAGUGAACAUUCCGCUUUUAUUGGUGAGGGGCCAACAAGGGGAGGAUGGAGGAUUUACUCUGUGGGAUGGGAUCCUGGCACAGUCAGAGACUGGACCAAAGCUCUCUCUGCCACAGCUUAACAGCAGGGCUCCUGGGCUAAAUCGCUUCUUUCGGUGGCCUGCCACACCAAGGUGUGUUUUUAAAAUCUGCGCAAUAAAAUUUAGUGUGGUUGGAGAGGUGGCAGCGGAUGGGAACCCACCCACAGGCAACUGACGUCAAAAAACCAGAGGGAAACAUUAGGCUUCUCUGUUCUCGAGAAGCUUCUGCUCUGUUAAGCAACCUGAGAAGGAAGCUGACUUUCCAUUAAAAAACGGCCACUUUGGCAGUUGUCAGAGACAGCCUGGUGUCUUAUACUUCCCCUCUCAGGAAAAGUGAGGAAAAUAAUUUCCAUAAGUUGGAAAGGAAGAAACCAGCAGUUCAAAGAAUAGAGCUGGAAAGGAAUUUGAAGGGCACUUAGAGUAACCUCCACCUCCAGAGAGCAAAUGAGGAAAGAGGCCCAGCGAAGACUGGGGACUAAUCUUGCCCUUAAAUUUGCAGGGUAGCCCACCCUGUAGGCCACGCUGCCUUCACAAAGCUAGCUAGCUGCCUGCACCUUGGUCAGCUGUUGAGAGGGACAUGCCUCGAAUUCUAGUCUGAAGAGGGGUUGCUGCAAGGGAGGCUCCCAGAUGCCUGGAAGGAGAACUGCACUCUAAUGUUGAUACCCCGAGGCUGGAGAUGUUGCUUUGGAAGAGGCUCUGGGGAAGACUGGUGUGGGGGAGGGUGUGCAUGUGUGUGCACACAUGCAUGUGUGUAAAGGGGCAAAAAAACAGGCAGCCCUUUCCUCCUUACACCUUUCCCCGCGGAAAACAACCUGAUGCAUGACUCUGUGUCCUGAUGCUUGACUCUGUGCCCAGCCAGCCUUCUCCUGGCUGGUCUCUGAGGCCAACACUGUGUACACACAGAAGACGGCUCUCCUUGAAACAUGGCAGCUGCACUUGAUCUGGACACCAGCCUCUGGGUCUCUCAGUUCUUCAGUUUUCUCCUUUCUAGAGAAGCCCGAGAAGCAGCAUGCCAAAAUCAAAGAGCAGAGUUGUUCACAUGCUCCACACAUGCCUGCAGGUGUGGGUCUUCCCUGUGUCUGCAGGAAACCAAUGUGUCUGAUUUUAAAAUACGGUGAUGUCACUCAUAAGACUGUACUUUCCUUAGGAAAUUAGUAAUGUCCUUAUUUCUAGGGGCCCUUCAUAUCCAUCUUUCCUCUCUUUUUCAUUGAAUCUCAACAGCUUUGUGAGGGUGGUGGCCUUUUGUUCCCUUCGGGUGAGAAACAAAGGCUCAGAAAGAGGAAAAUUCCGACCUGGAACAGCAAGCCAGUGAUGCAGCAGAGCCAAAACUCGGGCCCACCUCUCCUUUCUAGUAUCAGCUGGAUGUACACAUGGGGGGAACAGCUCUGUGUCUGUGGGUCACCAGGUGAUUCCAUUCAGGGAACACACACCUAAGUCCAAGACUGGGUUGGGCAAACAGGACAUAGAAGGUGGACAGUGCUGCUGCACCAUUCAUUGAUUCAGCAAAUAUUAACUGAGAGCCUACAUUGCCAUGCUCUGUCCUGGGGGCUUGGGAUACAUUAGCAAACCAAACUGAUGUGGACUGGGGUCCUUAGGGAGGUCACAGUGUAGCAGGAAGAGACAUUCAAUAAACAAAAAUAUUUUUUAAGUUUUUAGAGACAAGGUCUCACUCUGUUACCCAGAUUGGAGUGCAGUGGCACAAUCGUAGUUUACUGUAACCUUGAACUCCUGGGCUCAAGCAAUCCUCCUACCUCAGCAUCCUGAGUAGCUGGGACUGAGUAGCUGAGACCUGGUUAAUUUUAUUAAAAUCUAUAUUUAUAGAGAGGGGGUCUGUUUUUUUAUUAUUAUUAUUAUUAUUAUUAUUAUUUCAGACAGGGUCUCACUCUGUCACACAGGCCGGAGUACAGUGGCUCACUGCUGCCUUGACCUCCUUGGCUCAGGCAAUCUUCCCGCGUCAGCCUCCUGAGUAGCUGGGACUACAGGCAUGCAUCACCACACCCAGUUAAUUUUUACAUUUUUUUUUUUUUGUAGAGACAGAGUCUCGCUAUGUUGCCCAGGCUGGUCUCGAUCUCCUGGGCUCAAGUGAUCCAUCCACCUCGGCCUCCCAAACUGCUGGAAUUACAGGUGUGAGCUACUGUGCCCAGCCAGAGACAGGGUCUCACUAUAUUGACCAGACUGGUCUUGAACUCCUGGGCUUAAGUGAUCCUGCCACCUCAGCCUCCCAAAGUGUUGGGAUUAUAGGUGUGAGCUACCAUGCCCAACCAAUAAACAAAAUUCUUUACUUUUUUAUUCUUUAUUAAGUUAUUCGUUUCUUUCCCUGUCUUGAUUCCC
rnacentral:lncRNA from 1 species